CAAAUACUCUCUCCGUCCAGAAAUACUUGUCAUCAAAAUAGAUAAAAAGAGAUGUAUCUAUCUAGACAUAUUUUAGUUUUAGAUACAUCUCUUUUUAUCCAUUUUGAUAACAAGUAUUGUCGGACGGAGGGAGUAUAAG
rfam:Triticum urartu cultivar G1812 contig164876, whole genome shotgun sequence.